CUCCGCUGGGCGGUCAGGGGUGAUAUAGCUAACAAUUUGCUAGAGCACUAAUAAUGUUACACUCCUCAACGCGGCACGCUGCUAGCCGGCGCGCCAGGAGUUUCGCGAUCACGCUGCACUGAGGCUGAUUUUGGCGAAUUUACCAAAGGCUCCUCUUCAGAUGAACACCGGUGCCAUAAUAAAGCGGACAAGAAUGAAUUGUUGAUCUGAGCAUCAAGUCGAGCAGCCAGAGGAGAAGGAAGCAGCAUGUUAGUGUGACACGGAGACAUGGCAGAAAUAAG